rnacentral:rRNA from 1 species
AUGGUUCGUCCCCUCUUCGCCCGGCGGCGGCCGCCGCCGGAGCACGCCGGCAUAUAUCCUAACUGGGUCCUCCUCGACACCGUAGUGCGCGGGGCAAACUACGACUGGGAGAAAAUGUCAAUCACUGAGUGUUCUUCUUCCUUGGCUACCACAGCCAGAACAUUCGUGGAUGUCAGAAGUGAGGCGGAGUCGAAGGAAGAAGUGGUGGUGGAGGUGGAGGUUUCCUUCUUAUUCGCCAGCCCACCGGAUGUAUCUGGCUUCGUUGUCCAUGUUGGGGAUUACGGGUUGUCGUAUGGUGCCUCCGUCGUUAGCACCGAUGGCAACGCUGUUCUGCUAGCCAUUACCAUGGCAAUGUUCAACUUGCAGCGCUAUCUCGUCUACAGGGUUGACCAAGGGAAUCCGUCACUUGAGGUGCUUCCAGACCGACCUAUGCUGAAAUUCCAUCCAACCAAAGUGGUUGGCAUCCUCAGCCAUGGCAAGGGAUACAUUGUGGCUGCCUUGACGCGCAAGCUCAAAAUUGACUAUCUUGCUUAUGAGCUCUUUCUCUACACAUCCCAGACCAAGGCAUGGAGCAGCAAGGUGAUACCACUGGAGUGUACUAGGGACGCUGACCUGAUUCACGUCCUUAACCACCAUACCACCAAGGUAAUCACAGUUGGAGUGGAUUCAUUGGGGUGGGUUGACCUUUGGCGUGGUAUACUUUUCUGCAAUGUGCUUGAUGAGAAUCCAGUGGUCCGCUUCUUGAGCUUUCCUUGCCCCAUGCCGUCUAAUGCAUGUAACUUGGGAACAUCAUGUCCUAGGCCGUUUAGGGAUGUGAUCUGCAUUGGCAACACACUGAAGUUUGUUGAGGUGGAGUAUAACCAAGGUGAAGAUGAUACUGACUAUGGUUCGAAUACUGACCAUGGUUGGAAGGCGACAACUCAGAAGAGGAAUCUCGGGUCAGGGUGGACUGAAUGCUUUAGUGUAGAUACUAGUGACAUCCAUUUAACCGAUGAAAGUUGGGAUUUGUUGUCACACAGGCUGCGGGAUGAUGAUGCACGCCAACUUUCCUUGAGUAAGUUGGAGUGUUUAGCUCCUACCCUUGGCAUAGAUGAUGACUAUCUUUACAUGAUGACCCGGCCACUUGGAAGCAAUGAGAAGCCAUUGGGUCUGUUUGCUUCUCUUGACAUUAAAAAUAAGGACAUGAGGCUUGUGUCUUUUUCUACGGAAAGGAUGUCAUAUAUUGAUCCCAACUACCGGCCAUGUACUGUUUCACGUUACUUCAACAACACCUCUGGGAAGCCUCUCAAAAGUAAGAACAAGAAAGCUGCACCAAGGUUUAUUAUUGGUGAAAAUCUGAGGUGGAUUGGUUUGGUUAAAUUAGCAGUGCUCCGCAACAUCCUUGUUGCCAUUCAAAAGCUCACGUCGUUAGAUGCAAUACUGAUGAAACCAGAAAGGCCGGAUGAAACACAGCUAGAUCAAACAUGGCUAAGGAAUUGCUCUGCCUCUGUUGAAAUGCUUGGCCAGAUGGCCCAUGGUAUUAGUUCGUACACUGAUCAUUUACCUGCAACCAGCAUCCAAUACCAUGUUGACGCACUUAAAGAAGGGUUUUCUAUUUUGGGUGGUAAGACUUUCCCAUUUAUGGACAAUGACGAGUAUGCAAGUUUUGUCGAUAUCACACACUUCAAAAUAUUGGAUGUCGUAAAAGUGGCGCGCAGCAGUCUUGUAAAAGAAUUGCUGCCUAAAAGACUGGACGAUCCACAUUAUUCGCUCCGAUCUGUGGAACGGACUCUUAUGUAUGGAGAGCUGCCACUGACACCGUAUCUGAGGCGUCUUGACCUGUCAGAAGGAUGUGCUUAG